GAAGCGUUUGCUGUGCUCAUUACUGGUCUGCCAAUUUUUAAAUCAAAGAAAGAUUUUCAAACUUGUGACUUUCCAUAUCAUGCCAUGUCUGUGAAAGUUAUCCUGUCAGUAACUCUCUACGUCUGUGGUCUUGGACUGUUUACCCUCUUUCAUGCAAAGUUCUCUUUUAGUAAGCAAAAGAACUAUGUCAAAUUGAAAGAAGUCAGAAGAUUGGCACACAGCCAAAUUGAAGACUAUUAGCACUACUGUGAG